rnacentral:rRNA from 1 species
GGGCUUGAGAGGCCCUCCGAACGAAACAUUACACGACUCUCGGCAACGGAUAUCUAGGCUCUCGCAUCGAUGAAGAACGUAGCAAACUGCGAUACUUGGUGUGAAUUGCAGAAUCCCGUGAACCAUCGAGUCUUUGAACGCAAGUUGCGCCCGAAGCCAUUAGGCCGAGGGCACGUCUGCCUGGGCGUCACGCAUCGCGU